CUUUCCCUUCCUCAUCCCCCCUUGUUUAUGUUACUAAUUAUUAUCAUGAUGGUCUUUAUUAUAUUUUUCAGAUGACGAAGGUCAGGCUUAGAGAUCCAGGAAGUUGAGACAUGGAAAGCAGGAGUGGAGCAAGGAGGGUGGCAAAAAUCAUGACAUUUCACACACUCCGCCCCAGUGGAACCCAUCUUCCUCUGCUGUCUAACUGAAGAACUAGCAAUGCCUUCCAAAGCUAAAGGAAACUCCAGCUCCAUGCAACAGGUAAGGACAGGGUUUGUGAGCACCACCCUGCUGCAUCUUUGAGAAAUAUCUGGGCUGUGUGCAUCUCCAGCCUUACACACUG
rnacentral:lncRNA from 1 species